GCGCGAAAACUUUACAGUGCUGGCAACAGCGAUAAGGGAACCUCGAGUGCCAGGUUACAAAUCUGGCUGUCGAGAUGCCUAAAAAGCAUUUCAUAGCAAGGGCCGGGCAAGACCGGUGCCAGCCGCCGCGGUAACACCGGCGGCUCGAGUGGUAACCGUUAUUAUUGGGUCUAAAGGGUCUGUAGCCGGCCGGAUAAGUCUCUUGAGAAAUCUGGCAGCUUGACUGUCAGGCUUUCAGGGGAUACUGUCUGGCUCGAGGCCGGGAGAGGUGAGAGGUACUUCAGGGGUAGGGGUGAAAUCUUGUAAUCCUUGAAGGACCACCAGUGGCGAAGGCGUCUCACCAGAACGGACCUGACGGCAAGGGACGAAAGCUAGGGGCACGAACC
rnacentral:rRNA from 1 species